rnacentral:rRNA from 1 species
UACGUAGGGUGCGAGCGUUGUUCGGAUUUACUGGGCGUAAAGGGCGCGUAGGCGGCCACCUCAAGUCAGUUGUGAAAGCUCUGGGCUUAACCCAGAAAGGUCAACUGAUACUGCGGGGCUAGAGUGCAGAAGGGGCAACUGGAAUUCUCGGUGUAGCGGUGAAAUGCGUAGAUAUCGAGAGGAACACCUGCGGCGAAGGCGGGUUGCUGGGCUGACACUGACGCUGAAGUGCGAAAGCUAGGGGAGCGAACGGG